UAGCUAGGUGGUAAGGUAACGGCUUACCAAGGCUUUGAUGUUUAGGGGUCCUGAGAGGGUGAUCCCCCACACUGGUACUGAGACACGGACCAGACUCCUACGGGAGGCAGCAGUGAGGAAUAUUGGUCAAUGGGCGCAAGCCUGAACCAGCCAUCCCGCGUGCAGGAAGACGGCCCUAUGGGUUGUAAACUGCUUUUCCAGGGGGAGAAACUUGCGCACGUGUUGCGCAAUUGACGGUACCCUGGGAAUAAGCAUCGGCUAACUCCGUGCCAGCAGCCGCGGUAAUACGGAGGAUGCGAGCGUUAUCCGGAUUCAUUGGGUUUAAAGGGUGCGUAGGCGGACUAUUAAGUCAGUGGUGAAAUCCUGCAGCUUAACUGCAGAACUGCCAUUGAUACUGACAGCCUUGAGUUUGGUUAAGGUAGGCGGAAUGUGUAAUGUAGCGGUGAAAUGCUUAGAUAUUACACAGAACACCAAUUGCGUAGGCAGCUUACUGAGCCGACACUGACGCUGAGGCACGAAAGCGUGGGGAUCGAACAGGAUUAGAUACCCUGGUAGUCCACGCCGUAAACGAUGAUUACUCGCUGUUGGCGAUACACUGUCAGCGGCUAAGCAAAAGCAAUAAGUAAUCCACCUGGGGAGUACGGCCGCAAGGUUGAAACUCAAAGGAAUUGACGGGGGCCCGCACAAGCGGAGGAACAUGUGUUUAAUUCGAUGAUACGCGAGGAACCUUACUGGGCUUAAAUGUAGAGUGCAUUUCUAGAGAUAGGGAUUCCCUUCGGGCUUUCUGCAGUGCUGCAUGAUGUCGUCAGCUCG
rnacentral:rRNA from 1 species